rnacentral:misc_RNA from 1 species
GUGAGUCAUCGAAUCUUUGAACGCAUAUGGCACCCUCUGGCUCUGCCAGGGGGUAUGCCUGUUUGAGAAUCAUUCAUCCCUUUGGCCACCUGGCACAUCUGUCCGGGUGGUCAGACAUGGACCUUCACCGCUGAUCGUCUUGAAUGCAUGCACGGCUGCCGUGGCAAGGGAAGCGAUUCCGUUGAUGUCGACAGCCGUCCCCUGUGCAAUGAUCUCAAAUCAGGCAGGACCACCCGCUGAACUUAAGCAUAUCAAUAAGCGGAGGA